GAUCCUCUGGUUAAGAGUCCAGAGUCCUAACCACUACUCCACACUACUAAUUCUUCCUGGAGUGGUACUGUAAUACAUAAAGCAGACAGUAUUACCUUGUCAUGUAUAACUAAUGCAACUAAAAGCAGCAUUUGUGUAGCAUAUUUGUGCAUGAAAAAAGAAAACAAAAAAAUCUGUUGACUACAUUAUGAAAAACGCUACUUGGUACUGUCGGCUAUGAGAAAGUUGUUGCAACGCUUGCGAUUCGCGCCAAUCUUGGAAGCGCUGGAGGCCUGUUGAGCAGCUGAGUAACCUGGGGCCCGUUUCAUCAACGUUGUGCGACUAGGAUGUGCUGGCGACUGCUUGCGAGGUCGCACAGGACGGUGAUGUUUGUGUUUCAUCAUACACAUCGCAACGAGGGCGGUUGGGACUAGAACCGUGCUUAGAUGAGGCAUCUUCCUUUUUGUGCGCUGCAUUGUAGCUUCCUCGGCCCUGCUGGAAGGGAGUAACACUGGUGUCAACAGCCAAGGUUGUAGGGGAUAUUAUUUAUUUAUUAAAAGACAUCCUUAUCCAGGGCGACUUACAGUUGUUGCAAGAUAUCACAUUAGUUUUACAUACAAUUACCCAUUUAUACAGUUGGGUUUUUACUGGAGCAUUCUUGCUCAAGGUUACAGCAGCAGUGUCCCCCACCUUGGAUUGAACCCAAGACCCUCCGGUCAAGAGUCCAGAGUCCUAACCACUAUUCCACACUGCUACCCAUAUCUAAAAACACAACCAAAUCAUGUGAAAAUAUACCUUUGUUAUUAGCUAAUUAAUGCAAUUUUAAAAAUAGCAGUAUUAUGUUAAAUUAGUGUGGGCGAACAGACCGUGAUCGUGUUCAUCCCCUAUGGGAAGGACUGUGUGCUGCAGCAGUUUUGAAAUCGAUGUAAAAUUAUCUCAGUAAUCAUCAAUCGAAACACAUAUACAUAUAUUAAUAGAACGUUUUGUCUGGAUAAAUUUAAGUAUUAACUUAUAAAUUUAAAUUAAUUUAUAAAUAUAAAAAUUAAUUUACGAAUUAACUUACAAAUUUACCAAUUAAUUUAAGAAUUAACUUAUGCAUUGACAAAUUAAUUAACAAAUUAACUGUUUAAUUGUUUAAUUUAAAAUGCUCCAUAUUUCUGCCCCCAUGGCUUUCUGCGCUGGUUUUCUGUGCUGCAAGGAUUCCUGGACCAGCUUCUGCACACCAAAAAUAUAUUUACAUGUAUCCUCAUACUAAACAAAUAGGAAGUGGGACAUUUCCAUUUAACCAAUAAACACUUGCCAACGUCCUUGAGGUAUUAACAAGCAUAAUCAAUCAGCAGUAUUCAAGUCCUAGCUAUCAUUUGUAUCUAGGCAAAAAAUUGAACUGCAGGUUAUGAAAAUAUUUUAUCGUAUCGAAAGCAGAAAUCAUUAUGUGUUAGUUUACUAAAAAAUACUUCAUAUCAAAAGCAUGGUGUCAGUGGUCAAUCAAAGGCUUUUAACACAAUCUAGGAGGCAGUGUGGUCCAGUGGUUAAAGAGACGGGCUUGUAACCAAGAGGUCCCCGGUUCAAAUCCCACCUCAGCCACUGACUCAUUGUGUGACCCUGAGCAAGUCACUUAACCUCCUUGUGCUCCGUCUUUCGGGUGAGAUGUAAUUGUAAGUAACUCUGCAGCUGAUGCAUAGUUCACACCCCCUAGUCUCUGUAAGUCGCCUUGGAUAAAGGCGUCUGCUAAAUAAACAAGUAAUAAUAAUAAUAAUCUUUGUCACCUAUAUAUUAUGAUUCUGUCUUAGAUUGUGGUUAUUAUUGUGGUACAUUAGGGGUAGAUGCUGAUGCACUAAUCUUUUGAGUAAAAACGAAUAUAACGGAGCUUGGCGAGUGGAUGCUGAUGUGCUAGGGAGGCUGAUGAAAAGGCUAAUCCCUAUAAUGAGACAGCAUUAUAGUUCUAAUUUAGCAGCAGAAAUAUAAAUAUGAAAAUAAUAACUGCUUCCCCAAGCCAGUUAUUGUGUCCAUCUUCGUCUCUCCCAAGUCAGCGUGGGGGUGGCAGUGGUGAGCCGGGCUGAAAUAAAAAUAUUUGGGCUUUCCAAAUUGCGGAGAAAAAGAGAAAAAAAUAAUUGGUGAUUCCAAAUUAAAAAAAAAAAAAAAGUUAGUUAACUUUUGUGCUAAUACUUUUGCAUAUUUUUACAUGAUUCCAAUUUUUUUUCUAAUCAUUUUCUAUACGUUUUAUUGUAAAAAGCCCAAUGAUGACUACUUCCCAUUCAAUGACUUAUGGAAACAGACAUGGAAUUAUCUUCUUCUGAUCCUAGGCACCUAGGAAAGGAUUCUUGUGCAGUUUGUACUAAUAAGAUAUUUGGGUUUUCUGAGGGCUUGUUGUUAAAGCAAGAAAUAAAGGUCAUCAAUGUCUAAAGGCCCCAAAACCACAUAUGUCUUCUCCGACUCAAUUCUGAGGGGCCUGGAGGAAGGGAUGCCACAUCUAUGGCUACAUCCUGGUAAAACAUUGCAGCGCAGCACACACCAGCAUGUGUACCACCUGCAGGCCUUAAAAGAGGACAUAUUGCUGGUUAUUCACAUUGGGACAAAUAACGUAGCUCAGGGAGAAUCCCCUUAUGAGAUCCUUAGGGCUAUGUGGGAGUUGAUUGUGGCAGUUAGGAGAGCUUUUCCCCAUAAAGUUCUUAUUUCUUUGAGCGUACCCCGGCCCUGUGAUGAUGCCUCGAGGGUUGGAGUUGUGAAAGCAGCCAAUCGUCUUCUUUCACAACUCCCUAGUCAAAUGGAUAACGUGCUCUUCCUCAGAAGCAAUCGCUUGUUUCUUAGCAACAAGCAACCUGUUGCUAAGUUUUUUCGGACCAGAUGGCCUUCACCUCAGUGCCGAGGGCAAAAAGAACAUUUUUAACUUUAUUUGUAAUUUUGUAAUCAUUAUUUAACAUUUUUUUAAUUAAUUAAUUAAUUUAAUUUUUAUUUUACGGGGGAUUAGAACUGCCACAUUUUUAUUUGUUUUAUCUUUUUUUUUUUUACUCUCUUGUCACAUGAAAAAGCUCUGUUUUCAUUAAGUCCUGUAAUGAAAUUUACACAGAACUAGAAAAAGUUCUACAAUUUCACACAACAUUAAAGUAUUUUGUAUGUAUUAAGUAUCCCAAAACAGUAAAGUAUGUAGAGCCGUAUGUCACAACCUCCAUUUUUAAUUAACUCAUAGAGAAACAGACAGUUUGAGAGUGCUUAAGAGAUUCAAUUACUUGAUUGUUUGAGUUUAGUUUUGUAAAAUUAGCAUGUGUUAAUUUAAGGUUAGAGUAAACACUUUGAAAACAGGGCCCAUUUUGUCCUGUUUUAUUUCUUUUUUUCCUAAAUGUUGUUUGAUACAAUUACUCCAUAUAAUUUCAUUUAAUUAUUAGUAGCAUUUCAUAUUUACCAGGCAUGGAUUGUGUGACAGGUAAAAAGAACAGCUGGACCAUGCAGUGUGAAGAGCAGAUGGUGUGGUUUAUGCUGCAAAGAGGUUAGAUUAGGCACAAGGAAACGUUUACAUUUGCAUUGAUUGAAUAUAUGACAUCCCUUCCUUAACCAAUGCAAUAAAGCUUGACAGUCUGUUUAAUGUGUUGUGACAGAGAUCGAAUGACUCUUGGUGUUAGAUCUCCCUCUCGACCUGUGAGAGCACAGUGCAAGAGGAACAGAGUACCCUUAAUUAAAUGGCACGACAAUUUAUUCCGUAGGGUAGGUGGAAGUCGGUCAUUUAGGAAGGGGGCAGAGCUACAGCACCCAAGCUCAUUGACCUGGACGGUAAGCGGCGUGGCAUCCGAGGACUGGAGGAGCGGAUGCGCUCGUUAACCUCGGGGUCAGGGGCGAGGGUAUAAAUAGGGGGCAUGGCUUGAGUGAUCUGUUCCUUUUCAUAUUGUUAAGUUAAAUAACCGAGAAGGAGCCCGUACUGUGAAAAACCGUGAAGUGUUUUCGUGUCUGUGUAUUAACACUGUGUGUCUUGUGUGUUAUUAGUAACUGAAGAUUACUGAGCACGAUCCGGAGCUGCAGCCGCAGGCCAGCAAAAACCCAGACUUCACCAUUCACCUUUUCCACUAUCGGAACUGUCUUUGUUUUCACCACUAGCACUAGAAUCACGCACUGUCUAAUUGUGUCUGUGUUUUGUGUUUUGUGUGGGUGAUGGAACGGGACUUUGGGUUACGGGUCAAACCUGUGGGAUUACAAACCGAAGCGAUACACGCCACUGUAUCACUUCCAACACUGUUAUUAUUUGCAAGUUUGCCUUAAGGCUCUGGACAUUUAUUAAACUAAAUAAACACCCUUGCACCUGUACAAA